UACAUUUUUUAAAAUAAUGUGGCCAUUAUUUUUUUUUCUUAUUUUCAGCUGACUGAAGCUGACAACAAAUUUUCAGCCGAUAAGUAGAGUGAAGACUCUCAAACACUGUAAUGCGCAUGCCUACACUCUUAGACAUUAGGGGAAUCUCAAGAAGAAUUUGAGGAGGGAAAAACAAUAUGGGUCAGGAUGCUGAUGUCUUUCAACUCUCCAUGAAUUAAGGAAGCUACAUUAACAUGACAGUUGUUUUUGAAAAUGCAUUGGCGCCGUAUUUGAGAAGAGGAAAUCGGACCCAUGGUCUCUAAAGGACUUCUCAGCAACAAUGGCCUAAGCAUCUUUGAGAAAAGGCUAUGUCUGUGUGUACAACUGACCUGACUGACGUGCACAUCAGUUCUCCUAACCACCAUCCGGUCUGAUAAAGCAAAGGCAACAGAGUUGCUAAAAAUGAUAGCGGGUAAAAGUCUCCAAGGAGAGUUUGAGGCCAGAACUUGGAUUGGGCAAAUUCCUCCUGAUCACACCACACUACGUUGAAGACGAGAUAGAGAACAGGAAUGGAGAAUUCAAGUGACUCACCAAAGUCACACAGCAAUUUUAAGUGUUGAAAAUGCAACCCAGAUCCAACUCCAAUUUUGCAGGUCUCCUUAUCUAUGUUCUGCCUUUCAGAAUCAGGAAUAGUCCCUAUUGACUCUCAGUAAAAGUGGUGAAAAUGCUAAAAUACAAGGUCCUUAAUGUAGAUUUGAGAUUUUCUAAAUAAGUUACUUUUUUUUUUAGAAAUAAUUUGACAAAAGUGACAUUCAUUUCUUUCAACAGACGUUGAGUGCUUAUUAUAUGUCCCUGGGUCUGAAUAUUUUAUGUGUAGUUAUUUAAAGUAGUGAAUAAACAGAAGCAAAUAUAGAUUACCAAUUUACAGAACGUAAUGUGUUUGUUAAUGGGUGUACCUCUAAA